CCUACGUGCGGCAGCAGUGGGGAAUAUUGGGCAAUGGGCGCAAGCCUGACCCAGCAACGCCGCGUGAAGGAAGAAGGCUUUCGGGUUGUAAACUUCUUUUGUCAGGGAAGAGUAGAAGACGGUACCUGACGAAUAAGCCACGGCUCACUACGUGCCAGCAGCCCCGGUAAUACGUAGGUGGCAAGCUUUGUCCGGAUUUACGGGGGGUAAGGGCGUGUAGCUGGGUUGACAAGUCAGAUGUGAAAUCCUGCGGCUUAACCGCAGAACUGCCUUUGAAACUGUUGAUCUUGAGUACUGGUGAGGCAGAUGGAAUUCCUAGUGUAGCGGUGAAAUGCGUAGAUAUGAGGAGGAACACCAGUGGCGAAGGCGGUCUGCUGGACAGCAACUGACGGUGAGGCGCGAAAGCGUGGGGAGCAAACAGGAUUAGAUACCCUUGUAGUC
rnacentral:rRNA from 1 species